AGUGUGUCAGAAUCCUUUUUGUGUGUGUGUGUGUGUGUGUGUGUGUGUGUCUCAAGAGCUGUUCAUUUUGUGAGUAAAGGCAGGCCAAAGUGGCGGGGUCUCCUACUCUUUAUCCAGGUAGCUGAGCACAGGUGUGCUCACUCAGCAAUCACCAACCUGGAGAAGAGAUGGAGGAGGCACACACACACACAGCAAAAAGACAAAUCCCUACGUAACGAUAGUGUUCUGGAUAAAGUUUUAGUUCCCAGGUUUUGAAAUACUUGUCUCUUUGGACCUGAUGCCACCUGAUUAUUAGAUGAGUCUAUUGUUGACUGCUCUGGACCUCAACCCAACUCUCUCUGGAGAUGCCGGAAAAUGCUGGGAUGAUGUCAAGUGUUCUGUCCUUCGCCCAUUUGUCUGCAGCAAGAAAAUCUGAUGAUUCCUGGGCUGACACAGAGGCAUCAAGAUUGAAGAGACAAGUGACAUACAGGAGCUGGAUUGUCUCUUAGGCCUAAGAGCAGACUGAACGAGUUAUGAAAAUAAUGCUUUUACCACAACUGUAUUCUGUCUGGAGAGUGAACUGGUCUUUCUUGUCUUUCAAUAUGCAAAAUUAAAACGCUCAAGCAUUGAAA